rnacentral:rRNA from 1 species
AGAGAAAGGCGAUGAAGGACGUGCUAAUCUGCGAUAAGCGUCGGUAAGGUGAUAUGAACCGUUAUAACCGGCGAUUUCCGAAUGGGGAAACCCAGUGUGUUUCGACACACUAUCAUUAACUGAAUCCAUAGGUUAAUGAGGCGAACCGGGGGAACUGAAACAUCUAAGUACCCCGAGGAAAAGAAAUCAACCGAGAUUCCCCCAGUAGCGGCGAGCGAACGGGGAGGAGCCCAGAGCCUGAAUCAGUGUGUGUGUUAGUGGAAGCGUCUGGAAAGGCGCGCGAUACAGGGUGACAGCCCCGUACACAAAAAUGCACAUGCUGUGAGCUCGAUGAGUAGGGCGGGACACGUGGUAUCCUGUCUGAAUAUGGGGGGACCAUCCUCCAAGGCUAAAUACUCCUGACUGACCGAUAGUGAACCAGUACCGUGAGGGAAAGGCGAAAAGAACCCCGGCGAGGGGAGUGAAAAAGAACCUGAAACCGUGUACGUACAAGCAGUGGGAGCACAGAGCAAUCUGUGUGACUGCGUACCUUUUGUAUAAUGGGUCAGCGACUUAUAUUCUGUAGCAAGGUUAACCGAAUAGGGGAGCCGAAGGGAAACCGAGUCUUAACUGGGCGUUAAGUUGCAGGGUAUAGACCCGAAACCCGGUGAUCUAGCCAUGGGCAGGUUGAAGGUUGGGUAACACUAACUGGAGGACCGAACCGACUAAUGUUGAAAAAUUAGCGGAUGACUUGUGGCUGGGGGUGAAAGGCCAAUCAAACCGGGAGAUAGCUGGUUCUCCCCGAAAGCUAUUUAGGUAGCGCCUCGUGAAUUCAUCUCCGGGGGUAGAGCACUGUUUCGGCAAGGGGGUCAUCCCGACUUACCAACCCGAUGCAAACUGCGAAUACCGGAGAAUGUUAUCACGGGAGACACACGGCGGGUGCUAACGUCCGUCGUGAAGAGGGAAACAACCCAGACCGCCAGCUAAGGUCCCAAAGUCAUGGUUAAGUGGGAAACGAUGUGGGAAGGCCCAGACAGCCAGGAUGUUGGCUUAGAAGCAGCCAUCAUUUAAAGAAAGCGUAAUAGCUCACUGGUCGAGUCGGCCUGCGCGGAAGAUGUAACGGGGCUAAACCAUGCACCGAAGCUGCGGCAGCGACACUGUGUGUUGUUGGGUAGGGGAGCGUUCUGUAAGCCUGUGAAGGUGUGCUGUGAGGCAUGCUGGAGGUAUCAGAAGUGCGAAUGCUGACAUAAGUAACGAUAAAGCGGGUGAAAAGCCCGCUCGCCGGAAGACCAAGGGUUCCUGUCCAACGUUAAUCGGGGCAGGGUGAGUCGACCCCUAAGGCGAGGCCGAAAGGCGUAGUCGAUGGGAAACAGGUUAAUAUUCCUGUACUUGGUGUUACUGCGAAGGGGGGACGGAGAAGGCUAUGUUGGCCGGGCGACGGUUGUCCCGGUUUAAGCGUGUAGGCUGGUUUUCCAGGCAAAUCCGGAAAAUCAAGGCUGAGGCGUGAUGACGAGGCACUACGGUGCUGAAGCAACAAAUGCCCUGCUUCCAGGAAAAGCCUCUAAGCAUCAGGUAACAUCAAAUCGUACCCCAAACCGACACAGGUGGUCAGGUAGAGAAUACCAAGGCGCUUGAGAGAACUCGGGUGAAGGAACUAGGCAAAAUGGUGCCGUAACUUCGGGAGAAGGCACGCUGAUAUGUAGGUGAAGUCCCUCGCGGAUGGAGCUGAAAUCAGUCGAAGAUACCAGCUGGCUGCAACUGUUUAUUAAAAACACAGCACUGUGCAAACACGAAAGUGGACGUAUACGGUGUGACGCCUGCCCGGUGCCGGAAGGUUAAUUGAUGGGGUCAGCGCAAGCGAAGCUCUUGAUCGAAGCCCCGGUAAACGGCGGCCGUAACUAUAACGGUCCUAAGGUAGCGAAAUUCCUUGUCGGGUAAGUUCCGACCUGCACGAAUGGCGUAAUGAUGGCCAGGCUGUCUCCACCCGAGACUCAGUGAAAUUGAACUCGCUGUGAAGAUGCAGUGUACCCGCGGCAAGACGGAAAGACCCCGUGAACCUUUACUAUAGCUUGACACUGAACAUUGAGCCUUGAUGUGUAGGAUAGGUGGGAGGCUUUGAAGUGUGGACGCCAGUCUGCAUGGAGCCGACCUUGAAAUACCACCCUUUAAUGUUUGAUGUUCUAACGUGGACCCGUGAUCCGGGUUGCGGACAGUGUCUGGUGGGUAGUUUGACUGGGGCGGUCUCCUCCUAAAGAGUAACGGAGGAGCACGAAGGUUGGCUAAUCCUGGUCGGACAUCAGGAGGUUAGUGCAAUGGCAUAAGCCAGCUUGACUGCGAGCGUGACGGCGCGAGCAGGUGCGAAAGCAGGUCAUAGUGAUCCGGUGGUUCUGAAUGGAAGGGCCAUCGCUCAACGGAUAAAAGGUACUCCGGGGAUAACAGGCUGAUACCGCCCAAGAGUUCAUAUCGACGGCGGUGUUUGGCACCUCGAUGUCGGCUCAUCACAUCCUGGGGCUGAAGUAGGUCCCAAGGGUAUGGCUGUUCGCCAUUUAAAGUGGUACGCGAGCUGGGUUUAGAACGUCGUGAGACAGUUCGGUCCCUAUCUGCCGUGGGCGCUGGAGAACUGAGGGGGGCUGCUCCUAGUACGAGAGGACCGGAGUGGACGCAUCACUGGUGUUCGGGUUGUCAUGCCAAUGGCACUGCCCGGUAGCUAAAUGCGGAAGAGAUAAGUGCUGAAAGCAUCUAAGCACGAAACUUGCCCCGAGAUGAGUUCUCCCUGACCCUUUAAGGGUCCUGAAGGAACGUUGAAGACGACGACGUUGAUAGGCCGGGUGUGUAAGCGCAGCGAUGCGUUGAGCUAACCGGUACUAAUGAACCGUGAGGCUUAACCUUACAACGCCGAAGGUGUUU